UACGUAUGGACCAAGCGUUGUUCGGAUUUACUGGGCGUAAAGGGCGCGUAGGCGGCAAUUCAAGUCAUCUGUGAAAUCUCCGGGCUUAACCCGGAACGGUCAGAUGAUACUGCUUUGCUAGAGUGCGGAAGGGGCAAUCGGAAUUCUUGGUGUAGCGGUGAAAUGCGUAGAUAUCAAGAGGAACACCUGAGGUGAAGACGGGUUGCUGGGCCGACACUGACGCUGACAGCGCGAAAGCCAGGGGAGCAAACGGG
rnacentral:rRNA from 1 species